UGGGGGAACAAUUGUAAUCUUGGAAGCACCAUGCUCUGAGAAUGGAAAGAAAGGUUCAAGAACUCCAUGAUGAAUUUGACAAACAAGGAAAGGGCUGCCUCAAUAUGGGAAGCAUGGGAGAAAAGCUAGCACUAUCUUAUCUCUUGACAAGCCUUCACCGUUUUGACAAGACCUUGGAAGUUAACAAGGAGGAGCAACAAGAAAAGGACA
rnacentral:lncRNA from 1 species